GGCCUUCCAAUUCUUACCACAGGCUGUGUUCUUUACACUGACUUUAGAAUGUGGAGGUAUAGUAAAUGCACCCCAUAAACACCUCAACACAGGCCAUUUGCCUGGUCUGUAUUGUGAAUUGGGGGGCAAAA